rnacentral:rRNA from 1 species
AUACGGAGGAUGCGAGCGUUAUCCGGAUUUAUUGGGUUUAAAGGGAGCGUAGGUGGGAUAUUAAGUCAGCUGUGAAAGUUUGGGGCUCAACCUUAAAAUUGCAGUUGAUACUGGUUUCCUUGAGUACGGUAUAGGUGGGCGGAAUUCGUGGUGUAGCGGUGAAAUGCUUAGAUAUCACGAAGAACUCCGAUCGCGAAGGCAGCUUGCCGGGCCGCAACUGACGCUGAAGCUCGAAGGUGCGGGUAUCGAACAGGAUUAGAUACCCUGGUAGUCCGCACAGUAAACGAUGGAUACUCGCUGUCGGCGAUAUACGGUCGGUGGCCAAGCGAAAGCGUUAAGUAUCCCACCUGGGGAGUACGCCGGCAACGGUGAAACUCAAAUGAAUUGGCGGGG